rnacentral:rRNA from 1 species
CGGUUCAGCCAUGCCACCCUGAACAAGCCCAAUGUCUGAUCUUGGAAGCUAAGUCAGGGUCGGGCCUGGUUAAUACUUAGAUGGGAGACCACCUAGGAAGACCAGGUGCUGUAGGCA